CAUGAGCCCUACAGGUCCUCCUGC
rnacentral:piRNA from 1 species